rnacentral:lncRNA from 1 species
UGGCUCAUGCCUGUAAUCCCAGCACUUUGGGAGGCCAAGGUGGGCGGAUUACGAGCUCAGGAGAUCAAGGCCAUUCUUUUUUUUUUUUUUUUUCUUUUUUUUUUGAGACAGGGUCUCACUCUGUUGCCCAGGCUACAGUGCAGUGGCACCAUCUCAGUUCACUGCAACCUCUGCCUUCCAGACUCAAGUAAUCCUCCUGCCUUAGCUUCCUCAGUAGCUGGGACUACAGGCAUGUGCCACUACAUCUGGCUAAUUUUUGUAUUUUUUGUAGAGACGUGGUUUUGCCAUGUCUCCCAGGCUUUCUCAAACUCCUGGACUCAAGCAAUCUGCCUACCUCAGCCUCCCAAAGCACCGGGAUUACAGGCAUGAGUCACCAGGCCCAGCCUCCACCUUUGUUUCUAGUGGCCACUUUUAAGAUAUUAGCAACAAGUGUCUUAACCUUUUAAUGACAUUUGUCUCAUUUUUCCAGAGUUUUGGAAGGAAGCUAAGUACUUUCUUAUUAAUCAACCAGGCACAGACAGUGGCUACCGACUGUGCUAACAGUGUUAAUGACACUGUGGCAGUGGGUUGGUCAGGCCUGCUCAUGGGACUUGUGGAACGAGGGAAAACCUCCUUAAAGACACCAAUGUGUUCCCCAAGGCCUUGGCCACCUGUGACCCCAAACUUUUCCUCACACACUAGGUUUGUACUUAACUGCACAUCUUUUUACUGUGGUAAAAUAUACAUAAAAUAAAAUUGACCAUUUUAAUUUUUUUUGAGACAGAGUCUCGCUCUGUCACCCAGGCUGGAGUGCAGUGGCGCGAUCUCGGCUCACUGCAACCUCCGCCUCCUGGGCUCAAGUGAUUCUCCUGCCUCAGCCUCCUGAGUAGCUGGGUUUACAGGCGCCCGCCACCGUGCCUGGCUUAUUUUUGUAUUUUCAGUAGAGACGGGGUUUCACCGUGUUGGCCAGACUGGUCUCAAAUUCCUCACCUCAGGUGAUCUGCCUGCCUGGGUCCCCCAAAAGUGCUGGGAUUAAUGGCAUGAGCCACCGC